GAUGAAGAACGCAGCGAAAUGCAAAAAGUAAUGUGAAUUGCAGAAUUCAGUGAAUCAUCGAAUCUUUGAACGCACAUUGCGCCCGCCAGUAUUCUGGCGGGCAUGCCUGUCUGAGCGUCAUUUCAACCCUCACGCCCCUAGGGCGUGGUGUUGGGGAUCGGCCAAGGCCCGCAAGGGACGGCCGGCCCCUAAAUCUAGUGGCGGACCCAUCGUGGCCUCCCCUGCGAAGUAGUAAUAUAUUCCGCAUCGGAUAGCGAUGAGCCCCUGCCGUUAAACCCCCAACUCUUUCAAGGUUGACCUCAGAUCAGGUAGGAAUACCCGCUGAACUUAAGCAUAUCAAUAAGCGGAGGA
rnacentral:misc_RNA from 1 species